rnacentral:rRNA from 1 species
UUGAUCAUGGCUCAGAUGAACGCUGGCGGCAGGCUUAACACAUGCAAGUCGAGCGGGGGAGAUUGCUUCGGUGAUUGACCUAGCGGCGGACGGGUGAGUAAUACUUAGGAAUCUGCCUAUUAAUGGGGGACAACAUCUCGAAAGGGAUGUUAAUACCGCAUACGCCCUACGGGGGAAAGCAGGGGACCACUUGUGACCUUGCGUUAAUAGAUGAGCCUAAGUCGGAUUAGCUAGUUGGUGGGGUAAAGGCCUACCAAGGCGACGAUCUGUAGCGGGUCUGAGAGGAUGAUCCGCCACACUGGGACUGAGACACGGCCCAGACUCCUACGGGAGGCAGCAGUGGGGAAUAUUGGACAAUGGGGGGAACCCUGAUCCAGCCAUGCCGCGUGUGUGAAGAAGGCCUUAUGGUUGUAAAGCACUUUAAGCGAGGAGGAGGCUCUCUUGGUUAAUACCCAAGAAGAGUGGACGUUACUCGCAGAAUAAGCACCGGCUAACUCUGUGCCAGCAGCCGCGGUAAUACAGAGGGUGCGAGCGUUAAUCGGAUUUACUGGGCGUAAAGCGUGCGUAGGCGGCUUUUUAAGUCGGAUGUGAAAUCCCCGAGCUUAACUUGGGAAUUGCAUUCGAUACUGGGAAGCUAGAGUAUGGGAGAGGAUGGUAGAAUUCCAGGUGUAGCGGUGAAAUGCGUAGAGAUCUGGAGGAAUACCGAUGGCGAAGGCAGCCAUCUGGCCUAAUACUGACGCUGAGGUACGAAAGCAUGGGGAGCAAACAGGGAUUAGAUACCCUGGUAGUCC